ensembl:lncRNA novel transcript
GGGCUUCCUGCAGAGGAACCUAACCAUUCUGGGAGGUUGUUUACAGAUGAGGCCACUGAGGCAUGGACAGGUCACACAAGGCUGCGGAACACGUAGGACGGAGCAAAAGGACAGGGAACGGAAAAGAAACAGGGCACAGAGAAAUUCAAGUGAAAUACAGGCUGGUUCAGGAGGAGGACUGCGCCACUUCGGGCGGGCCUGCAGCACUGACACGGCUUUUGGGUUCGCAGUGGCGGUGGAGGGCGGUCAAGAGGACCAUCAGCCUCUCCAAGGCGUGACCGUCGGCCUCCCUCUGCACCCAUCCUCACUUGCAGCUCGUCGGCUUCGGGCCGUGGGACGCGGCGGAUCAGAGUCGGAGUGUAUUCAACUGCGGGUUUGAACUUGGAUUUAUUUGGAGUGUGAUAAAACUACUAAAGUGCCUCGGCUCCUGGGAAAUUCAAACUCUGCCGUCAGUGCCUGACCGUCCCUCCCACUUACGUCCGUUUCCUGCCCCUUCUACCCUACCAGCGACCAAGCCAUUUUCUACCCGCGAUGAAGCUCACGGCACGGAGAUGGAGAAACGUGCACCCUGACGCCACUGGAGC